AUUGAACGCUGGCGGCAUGCCUUACACAUGCAAGUCGAACGGCAGCACGGGAGCAAUCCUGGUGGCGAGUGGCGAACGGGUGAGUAAUAUAUCGGAACGUGCCCAGUCGUGGGGAUAACGUAGCGAAAGCUACGCUAAUACCGCAUACUAUCUAUGGAUGAAAGCGGGGGAUCGCAAGACCUCGCGCGAUUGGAGCGGCCGAUAUCAGAUUAGGUAGUUGGUGAGGUAAAGGCUCACCAAGCCGACGAUCUGUAGCUGGUCUGAGAGGACGACCAGCCACACUGGGACUGAGACACGGCCCAGACUCCUACGGGAGGCAGCAGUGGGGAAUUUUUGGGACAAUGGGCGCAAGCCUGAUCCAGCAAUGCCGCGUGCAGGAUGAAGGCCUCGGUUGUAA
rnacentral:rRNA from 1 species